AUUGAACGCUGGCGGCAGGCCUAACACAUGCAAGUCGAACGGUAACAGGAAGAAGCUUGCUUCUUUGCUGACGAGUGGCGGGCGGGUGAGUAAUGUCUGGGAAACUGCCUGAUGGAGGGGGAUAACUACUGGAAACGGUAGCUAAUACCGCAUAACGUCGCAAGCCCAAAGAGGGGGACAUUCGGGCCUCUUGCCAUCGGAGGUGCCCAGAUGGGAUGAGCUAGUAGGUGGGGUAACGGCUCACCUAGGCGACGAGCCCUAGCUGGUCUGAGAGGAUGACCAGCCACACUGGAACUGAGACACGGUCCAGGCUCCUACGGGAGGCAGCAGUCGCGAAUAUUGCACAAUGGGCGCAAGCCUGAUGCAGCCAUGCCGCGUGUAUGAAGAAGGCCUUCGGGUUGUAAAGUACUUUCAGCGGGGAGGAAGGGAGUAAAGUUAAUACCUUUGCUCAUUGACGUUACCCGCAGAAGAAGCACCGGCUAACUCCGUG
rnacentral:rRNA from 1 species